rnacentral:rRNA from 1 species
CCUACGGGUGGCUGCAGUCGAGGAUCUUCGGCAAUGGGCGCAAGCCUGACCGAGCGACGCCGCGUGUGCGAUGAAGGCCUUCGGGUUGUAAAGCACUGUCGAGGGGGAUAAAACCGCAAGGUUGAUUGAUCCCUGGAGGAAGCACGGGCUAAGUUCGUGCCAGCAGCCGCGGUAAGACGAACCGUGCAAACGUUGUUCGGAAUCACUGGGCUUAAAGGGCGCGUAGGCGGCUGACCAAGUCUGGGGUGAAAUCCUGCAGCUUAACUGUAGAAGUGCCUGGGAUACUGGUCGGCUCGAGGGAGGUAGGGGUCUGUGGAACUGCUGGUGGAGCGGUGAAAUGCGUUGAUAUCAGCAGGAACGCCGGUGGCGAAAGCGACGGACUGGAUCUCUUCUGACGCUGAGGCGCGAAAGCUAGGGGAGCAAACGGGAUUAGAUACCCU